rnacentral:ncRNA from 1 species
CAUGCAAGUCGAACGGGAAGUGGUGUUUCCAGUGGCGAACGGGUGAGUAACGCGUAAGAACCUGCCCUUGGGAGGGGAACAACAACUGGAAACGGUUGCUAAUACCCCGUAGGCUGAGGAGCAAAAGGAGAAAUCCGCCCAAGGAGGGGCUCGCGUCGGAUUAGCUAGUUGGUGAGGCAAUAGCUUACCAAGGCGAUGAUCAGUAGCUGGUCCGAGAGGAU